GUAGAUGCCCAUUAAAGGAUGCCCAUGUUUGGGAUACUAACAAGGCAGGAUAGAACGGAACAAUGCAGUUCUGCCUUUGUUCGAACAAAGUGCCAGUGGUGCAGCACCCUCACCAUGUCCACCCCCUCACGCCUCUUAUCACGUACAGCAAUGAACACUUCACGCCAGGAAACCCACCUCCACACUUACCAGCCGACGUAGACCCCAAAACAGGAAUCCCACGGCCUCCGCACCCUCCAGAUAUAUCCCCGUAUUACCCACUAUCGCCUGGCACCGUAGGACAAAUCCCCCAUCCGCUAGGAUGGUUAGUACCACAGCAAGGUCAACCAGUGUACCCAAUCACGACAGGAGGAUUCAGACACCCCUACCCCACAGCUCUGACCGUCAAUGCUUCCAUGUCCAGGUUCCCUCCCCAUAUGGUCCCACCACAUCAUACGCUACACACGACGGGCAUUCCGCAUCCGGCCAUAGUCACACCAACAGUCAAACAGGAAUCGUCCCAGAGUGAUGUCGGCUCACUCCAUAGUUCAAAGCAUCAGGACUCCAAAAAGGAAGAAGAAAAG
rnacentral:sRNA from 1 species